UACGUAGGUGGCGAGCGUUGUCCGGAUUUACUGGGCGUAAAGAGCGCGCAGGCGGUCGUGCAAGUCGCGUGUGAAAGCCCCCGGCUCAACUGGGGAGGGUCACGCGAUACUGCUCGACUCGAAGGCAGGAGAGGGUAGUGGAAUUCCCGGUGUAGUGGUGAAAUGCGUAGAUAUCGGGAGGAACACCAGUGGCGAAGGCGACUACCUGGCCUGUUUCUUGACGCUGGGGCGCGAAAGCUAGGGGAGCAAACGGG
rnacentral:rRNA from 1 species